AACUAAACAGGAUUCCCUUAGUAAUGGCGAAUGAACAGGGAUGAGCUCAGCAUGGAAAUCGGGGUCUCCCGACCUUGAAUUGUAGUCUGUAGAUGUACUGCCAACGGAGGCGCAGAUGUAAGCCUCUUGGAAAAGAGCAUCAACGAGGGUGAGAGUCCCGUUUGUCAUCUGCAGUCCCCCGUGCACGGUGUGCCUUCUAAGAGUCACGUUCCUCGGGAUUGGAGCGCAAAGUGGGUGGUAAAUUUCAUCUAAAGCUAAAUAUUGGUUCGAGACCGAUAGCAAACAAGUACCAUGAGGGAAAGGUGAAAAGGACUUUGAAAAGAGAGUUAAAAGUGCCUGAAAUUGCUGAAAGGGAAGCGAAUGGAACCAGUGUUCUUGAUGAGAUUGUUGCGUACUCUGGUGAUUGCUGGGUGUUCCACCGCAAGGGGGGCAUCUAGUUUUGAGCUAGAUGUGCGUGGUGUUUCUUGUCUUGUGUGUCACCGUCGGUGCACGAGCGAGUAAACCUCCAGGGGGCUGGUAACUCGACCACGGUUGAGUGAAUACCUUUGGCAGUACUCAUUUGUGUAUCGAUCCCUGCGUGUCUGGUUGCAGUGUUUGGGUCGCCUGGAAACUCCUGAAGGGCUUGUCCUCGAAGGAGUCCUUUUGGGCGCCCUGAGCAUCUCCCUGACACAAAGACGA
rnacentral:rRNA from 1 species